rnacentral:tRNA from 1 species
AGGUCAUUAGAUUAAGGGUAAAUCAUAUACUUUACACGUAUACGUUAAUGGUUCGAAUCCAUUAUGACCUA